rnacentral:rRNA from 1 species
AUGUAUGAGGGCAAAGAUCAACCGAUGUGGAUGCUGACAGCUAAUAGACAAUUCUCUGUGAGAUCGUUAUAUCAACAGUUAGUAAAAACAGAUAUGGGCUUCCCACACAAAUUUCUUUGGAAGGUGAAAAUCCCGGCGAAAAUUAAGAUGUUUCUAUGGCUGAUUGCCAGAAAAAGUAUACUAACCAGAGAUAAUCUUGUAAAAAGAGGGUGGAAAGGGGAUCAAAGAUGUGUAUUCUGUGGCCAAAAUGAAAAUAUAGAUCAUCUUUUUUUCUCUUGCUCCGCUGCAAGGCUGCUCUGGAGCUUGAUAAAGUGCUCAUUCAAUCUAAAAACAGCUCCAGAUGGGGUUGAUGAUUGUCUGGGCGCCUGGAUUAGGAAAUUCAAAAAAGAGGAUAAAAAAUUAGUGCUAGUUGGAAUGUCUGCAAUUCUCUGGGCUAUUUUGAAAUGUCGAAAUGAUAUAAUUUUUCGAGAUAAAUUGAUCAAUGAUCCCAUGAAGUUGGUAAAACUAACUUGCAAUUGGAUUGUGGAUUGGGCUAUUUUGCAGAGAAAAAACCCAGGACAAAACCUACUGAUGCUGGGGGCAAGGCUAAUCGAGCAAGUAGCAAGUGAGGUCUACAGAGCUUCGCAGGGAUGGAGAGCUGGAGUUCCUCGCCUGACGAACUGA